GAGGGGUCGUGGGGUGCGGGAGGUCCCCUCCUUCCCUUUGGGUUUCUUUGGGACGGAUGCGGUCGGCCCCAUCUUUGCGCUUUACGCAACAGGUAGGGAUGCCAGGAGCUGGCGGCGGCGGCACGGAGUCGCGGCCAGGAGGUUUCGGGGGGCUUUUUUUGUUACGUUCUCUGGAAAAGUGCGAAGGGGAAGGGAAGGAGAGCCAACAGUUAUCCGAAAUUCCCCUUCAGUUGCUUAUUUAUGUACUUCCCGUGUCCAUGAAAAACGGGUUCGUUUCGCAACUCCGGAGUUUUAUAUUGUUUUCUAUUUACUUUUCUCCCCUCCUUUUCUUUCUUUUAAAGUUAUUUUUCUUUAUGUCCUGCGUUUGCCCGCCUCAUUCCGGCAGAUCAAACUGUCCGAAAGCAGAUCCCCAGAGGCUUGUCCUCACUGACAGUCGGGGGAAUCCAAACAAAGAGGUGCAUCUACCGGAAAUAAUGAUUUGAGAGAUGGUUCUCUCCCUUUCCAACCCCCCACUCCCCCGCCUUGAAUUAAAUUGUUUUCUUUUUCUGGGAGGUUCAGUUCGAGGGAAGUUUUGCGCCGGAGCCGGGAUCGGGGCUGAGGAGGGAUGGAGCAGACGGAAAGUUGCGGUGGUGGGAGGAGGCGGGGGGCGAGGGCAGUACGGGACCCCGGCGGCGCCCGGACCGCGGGGGGAGCAGGGGCGCGGGGGACCUGCCGCCGCUGCCGGCUCUUUGUCUGCUCGGGCAACUUGAACAAAAGGAGAAACUCGGAUGAACUCUCCAUCUCUUCCUCGCCUCUCCCGGGUAAACUCAUCUUCGGCAACUUUAUCGGAAGAGAUUUGCUCAACUUUCUUCGAGCUCUCCUGCCGCUUAAAAGCAAAGAGCCCCGCCGUAGACUUCUAAGGAAAUCUGGUUUCACAGUUUAGAGAAAGGAGAAGGUCACAACAUGAUUGUUGGGAAAAUGGGAUGGCUGCCAGAACAUCAGUCGGUGAUGGGUGCCAUAUUGCAUUACUCUUCGAAUGGUGGAAUAGAGCUUGGGAUUCCUCUGGGCUGCUUGACAUGAUUCAAACUGGACCAUACAGAUGCCUAACAUCUUAGCUGUUUGGAUUCAUAGUAAUGGUUAAUGGUCUCCUGGGGGAAGUGGAAAAGCCCCAUGCUGAAACUUGUGGAUAUUACGGAACAUGCUGCUGAGACCUAUUUGGAUUAUACUGCCAUGUGACACCAAGGUUCUGCAUCUGAUGAGAGGAGUUCACCAGAUCUUUUUAUGUGGUUGCUGAAGCAUUGCCCUGGGACAGCAGUAAUGAUGGAUGGACGAACAGAACACACUUCAGGCUUGAGUCACAGAGAAACAUGAGGAUUUGCACUUCUGAAAUAAGUGUGAAUGGGAUUGAAAGAACUAAAUGGAGGAUUCUGAACUCCCCUUCUUCCUGCUCCGGGAAAGAUGGAGGCCUGCUCUGAGACCGCCUUUGGUUAUGAUCCACAUGUGCUACUGAAGCUGGCUGGAAUGGUGUGACAAAUGAGAUUUAGAUGGAUCACUCUGCCAGCUGUCAAGGCCAAUACUGCUCUACAGCCCCUGCUCUCAGCCACAUCCUCAGUGUCCUUGUGGCAGGGUGUCUUGGUAGGACUGUGCAGAUCAAGCUUCACACGACCUCUGCACUUCAGUCUCUCUGUGCUGAGGCAAUGAACACAGACCUAUACUUCACACUGGUUUAUCAAAGGAAUUUUUCCAGUCCCUGUUCAAACAAUUUCUGCCUGAGCAUCUCUGAACAGCUAACUGGAGCAACUGGAAUGAGAGGCAGACACAUCACAGAAGCAAAUCUGGCAGUAAGAUUAUUCCUCAUGCUAAAAUAAUAUCCAGAAGUUUGUAUUCUGUCAGCUGAAAUUACAGUUCAGUUUCUUGGAAGAAGUGAGAUGCUAUUUUGCUGAAGAUAUAUGCCUCUCUGUCCCCUGUUGUUAUAUAAGCAAAUUGUUGGUACUUAUCAUCCUCUUGCUGUCUGCUUCCUCUCUGUAGGUAAUUGUGCCUCUAAUAUUACCUAGAUAUCUCAGCCUUGCUUGUGACCUGAGAGUAGAUUUUAGCUCUUCACAUAAUUGUCUUGUCCUGCACGUGACGGAUUUAUAGGAAUAUUGCAUAUUGUCAAUAAAAAGAAACAACUGACUGUUUUUACUCCCCCUCCCCCUUUCCUCUGAGAGCACCAAGAGCCAGCCAUUUCCAGACUCUUCCUCCUCCCCUUGUGAAGCUCCAGGAAUUCAAGCAGCUUAUCUAAUCCCAUGCUACAGAGGCUGUGUUGCAUCAGGGAGGAAGGUACAAUAGGCAACACAUCCUCAACAGAAGAGUUUUGCUUGGACAAGGACCUAGGGCUACCCAAGGGCCAGCUCAGGAUCAUUGAAUUGUGGGUCAUUGGAGUAUUGGGGCGAGUAAGAUUGCCUUGAGAGGUCCUGUCCUGUGAUGACUCUUCAAUUUCUUUGGUUUUCUCAGCCUUAGUACUGUAGCAAAUACCUGCUUUAGGAAGAGGAUAUGAUGGAAUCUCUAACACAUCUAGUUGGAGGGCCUUGGAACAGGACCUUAUGGUCCAGAUGUGCAACAGGAUGACCACUGCUUCAGCUCAUCAGUCACCUUCAGCACCCAAUAUCUGUUCAUUCUAUCAUCACCUCCAAUACCCAAUUAUCUGUUUUACUGUGCAUUAAUUUCAAAGUAUAGGAUAAGAGUAACUUCAAUAAGACAUAGGGAAGGGGUUUAAUCAUAUUUGAAAAGUCAUGACAGUCCAGUGAAGUUGUCACUGAGUGGAAAAGGGGAAACAAAAGGGAAAAAAGGAAGACCUGAGGAAAUGCAGAACAGUUCCUGUCUCACCUCAGUGCCUGGCAAGAUCAUGGGAAAGAUACUCCUGGAAACUGUGCUAAGUCGUGUGGAAAAUAAAGAGGUGACUGGUGGCAGCCAACAUGGCUUGACUAAGGGCAAAUCAUGCCAGACAAAUUUGGUGGCCUUUUGUGACAUGGUUACCAUAUCGGUGGAUAAGGGAAGAGCAACUGAUGUAAUCUACCUGGACUUGUGCAAAGCAUUUCACAAUACCACAUAACAUCCUCUAAACUGGAGAGGAACAGAUUUGAUGGAUGGAUCACUUGGUGAAUAAGGAAGUGGCUGGACAGUUUCACUCAAAGUGUUGCAAUCAAUAUCUUGUGUCCAAGUGGAACAUAAUGAUGGGUGGUGCUCCUCAGGAAUCAGUACUGGAGACAGCAUUGUUUAACAUCUUUGUUGGUGACAUGGACAGUGGGAUUGGUGCACCACCAGCAAGUUUGCCAACAAUACCAGAAUGUCCAGUGCAGUCAACAUGCUGGAGGGAAGGGAUACCAUCCAGAGGGGCCUUGACCAGCUUAAGAGGUGGGCCUUUGCUAAGCUCAAAGUUCAACAAGGCCAAGUGUAAGGUCCUGCACCUUGACUGGGGCAAUCCCAGACACAAAUAAAGGCUAAAUGGUUGAGGAAUGAAUUGAGAGCAGUCCUGAGGGAAAGGUCUUGGGAGUGUUGGUUGACAGAAAGCUCAGCAUGAGCUCGCAAAUUGUGCAUGCAGCCCAGAAAGCCAGCCAUAGUCUGGUUGCAUGUACAGGAGUGCGGACACUACAUUAAAGGAUGGGAUUCUGCCCCUCUACUCUGCUCUGGUGAGACCCCACCUGGAGUCCUGCAUCCAGCUCUGGGGUCCGCAGCAUAAGAAUGAUACAGACCUGUUUGAGCAAGUGCAGAGGAGGAAGACAAAUAUCAGAGGGCUGGGACACCUAUGGAGACAGGAUGAGAGAGCUGGGGUUGUUCAGCCUGGAGACGGCUCUGGGGAGACCUUAGAGCAGCCUUCCAGUACCUAAGGGGAAUCUGCAAGAGAGCUCAAGAGAGACUUUGUACAAGGGUUGGUAGUGGUUGGACAGGAGUGAAUGGCUUCAAACUGAAGGAGGGUCGGUAUAGAUUAUAUGUUAAGGAAGAAUUUUUUUUUUUUUUUUUUGUGAGAAUGAUGAGGCAGUGGAACAAGUUAGCCAGAAAGCUGGUAGAUGCCUUUUCUCUGUCAACGUUCAUGUGUUUGAGAGACCUGGUCUAGUGGAAAGUGUCCUUUUCUUUGGCAGGGGUGUUGGAACUAGAUGAUCUUUAGGGACCCUUACAACCACAACUGUUUUAUGAUUCAGUGAUUUGGAAUGCUGGUGUGCAGCAAAGAUCCAAGAGUGCUGCCAUUUGCUGAACUGUACAUGAUAAUGUUGUUAGUAGUUGCAUUUCAUUUUGUGGCACAAAUUGCAUUUUGUCCUUUGUGUAAAAGUACUGAUACUUAUACCUUUGUGUAAAAGUACUAUACUGCAGUAGUGCUUCUUAUUUAAAGUGAAAAAUGACUGCAUAAAGCUGUAUUUGAAUCCAGAGGGACCAUUUUAUUAAUUAGUAAAUAAUGAUAUGAUGAAAUUGAAUCAUACUGCUUUUUCUAUUCCAAUUUUUCUUUGAUGAAUGCCUUCUAUAAAAGUGUGUGGACAAAUAAAUUGUUCCCUUAUGUCUCUAAAAACAUGUUGUAAAUGUUUAAUUUUAAUGACAAUUACAGUUUAGAAAGGAAACACUAUUCAAGGACAAGAAGUAUAGAAGUAAGAUUUUAAUUUUAUGAGUUUUAAAUAAAAUAUUAGAAACAUAUUCUGGGAUCACAAUAUUAACAUCCAUAUAUAUAGAUAUAUAUAUUUGUCUUGUUAACCUCAAACCAUGUUUGGAAAUUUUCAUGAAAAUUUGCAUCGCAUAUGAAAAAUCUAGGUACCUGUUCUUUUGACUUCAUGUUAGAAUAAAAGCCAUGCAGUUGGUGAGUGGGAUUUAGCAGUGCUACCAGCAUAGCCAUGUGCUUUGGGGCCGAUUAUAAUCGCUAGGGAGAUUGAAGUGUAUUGAAAACCAGAAAAUCUCGACAAGCCUUUUAAAUGAAUUGUUGAAGUCCUCUAAGAGGAUUUCAGAAUGAAGGUAUCUGAAUGCAUUCUCAUGUGUGGGAAAACCUGAGUGCAUACUGCAUUCCUGGGCCCUGGUGUAAUUUCAUGUAAUACUAGCAAAAACUAAGCCUGUGUUACUGUAAAGUGCAUAUCGACUUGGAUAGUGCUUUCCAAAUCCAUUCAAAACUGUUAUUAGUGUGAGGACACUUCUGAUGGAGAACAUGGACAUUCUUCAAUUGCACCAAGUGAUUUUUAAGGAUGCUUCAAUACUGGGGACUGAAUAAUUGAUCCUGGAAGAGUAUUUCAAAGUAGAUUUGAAAGAAUAAGAGCAACUGGUCCAUCUUGGAAAUAAUACUGACUUCUUUUUUUUAUUUAAGUUGUUUCUCACAUGGUUAAAAAUAAUAAUUUAGUGUUUAUGAAGUUGUCUCUAGUUUGUGUUCAUGAGGAAGCUGCCUCAAUAUUUACAGCUGAAAGGUUCUCCUACUGCAUUCCCAAAUUUACCCUUCAGCUUCACUUUCCUGUAAUAUAGGUCUGGUUGCAUUGUGAAAUGAGCAACUGAUAUAAUCUUUACUACCUUUAUUUCUUUCUGCACAAAGAAUUUCAUUUCUGUGGUAGGAGAAAAACGAUAUUUUGAAGUGUUUCCAUCAAACUACAGCUAAAAAAAUUUAGAAAUCAGAAAACAAUUCUCAUUAUUUGCAUUAAGAAAAUAUCAAAUAAUUCAAAUACAUACAUGGCAAAACAAGUCUUGAAAUUUUCACCAUGCUUCUGAAUGAUCACCAGUUACUGAUAACGAAUCUCUAUGUUUAUAUGAGUGAACAGAGAGAAGCUUACACUCAGAUAUCCUGGAGUUAGUGUUCUGGAUGUAUUUUGACUGGUUGUUUUUUUUUUAUUUUAUACCUCUUGCAAAUUAGCCUACAAGAUUAUGAAGAUAUAGGCAAGCCAAUGAGUUCAUGAGUUGAGAUGUACCUGUAGAUGUGUAUACAAUUUUUUCAUGUUGUUAAGUGGAUAUGUAAUGGAAUCAUAGAAUGGUUAGGGUUGGUAAGGACCUUAAAUAUCACCUGGUGCCAACCCACCUGCCAUGGGCAGGGACACCUUUCACUAAUCCAGAUUGCUCAGUGCCCCAUCCAACCUGGCUUUGAACACUUCCAUGGACAUCAACAGCUUCUCUGGGCAACUUGUAUAAGUGCCUCACCACCCUCACAGCAAAUAAUUUCUUCCUAAUACCUAAUUAAACCUGCUCUUCUUCAGUUUGAAAUCAUUGUCCCUUGUCCUGUCACUAUCUGCCUGUAUAAAAAGUUCCUCUCCCUCCUUUUUAUAAGCUUUGCUAAGGUAUUGGAAGGCUGUAAAAAGAUCUCUUCUCUGGACUGAACAGCCCCAACUCUCAGCCUUUCCUCGUAGGAGAGUAGUUCCAGCUCUCUGAUCAUCUGGCAAUUCAUCAGUAUGAACUGCCAGUGAGUUUUAGAGUAGGUCAUGUUUGUACUAUCAGUUAUGUUGUGUCUUUGAGAUAUAGUGUAUUUAACAUAUUUAAUAUAUGUAAAAUAUUGCAUUUAAAGAGAUCUGUGGUGAUUUUCUGUGCAUAUCUGUUACGAAAACUUUUUUUGCAAACAAAAGCUCUUUUUGUUAUUGUCCAGAUAUCCACAAAUAAAAAACAAAAUUAGAGAAUGUGUUGAUAAUUAUUAUUUAUGUUUGCUCUCUAUACCUAGUUUGUUCAAAUAACCAAUUUACUGCUAGUGACAACAUGCUCCCUGACCAGUAAUUCCUACAGUCUUAGGUGCAAAAAAGAAGAUACUGAGAUAGAUGUAAUUAAACUUCUGGAGGAGUUGUUCAUUUUAGUAGCCGCUUCCUUUGAAAAUUCCUUUAAGAUUAGUGGGGUGUUCAGACCCAUAAAGUGAAAAUGGAUUUGAUGACAAGAGAACAGAGGCAGUUCUUACACUGCAGUGCUUACAGCAAAACCAGCUGAUGUGGGAGAUGACAGAGCUCUUGGGGAGACAGCUAUACCAUAACUCCUGCAUUCCAGGUGCAGCAGCAUAAGAAAAUAAAUCUCUGGAUCAUCCCUUUAAAAAAAAAAAGUGGUGUUGAAGCACGGUGUGAUUUUUUUAACUUGAUUAUUGGAGUUCUUAUAGGAACUUGGAGUUCCUAAGAAAGGGAGAAUUAAAAAAAAGUUGGAUUCUGAAGUACUGACACACCUUUGGUUACAGCAUGUAAAUGUAAUGGGUGUAAAUGUAAUGAUGUUGUAGACAUGAAAAAUGGGCAGAGUAGAUGGGUACAUCUGCUGACAAUCUUUCUUUUUAAUUUGGAGCCACCUGAAGUCAAUAAGUAUCUGGAUAAUAACUCGACCCCCAUACGGCUUCCGGUCUUUCAGAUUAAUAGUGUGCAGCAGGAGAAAGGAAAAAGGAGGCUACUUUUAACUCUGGCUUCUGUUUGCUUUUUUGUGAGCCUGAGAACAUUUCCUGUCUUCUUGGUGAUGGGAAAUGUAACCAAAAGAGGCAUCAAUGAAUGACAUUUCUCAUGGCUGGCCUUUGACACUGAGUUUUUGGUACCACCUGAGAGAUGCUGCAACGUGCAUGAAGGGGAAAGAAGGCCAGAUCUUUAGCAUGCUUUGCAGUUACCUCACUUCAGUGAGUUGUUGGUUUCUGAGUAUGUAUUGCAUCAUACCUAGAAUAUAUUUCCCAGUUAUAAUUCCUUAGAGUCCAGUAUUACAAGGAGCAGGUGAAUAUUGUCCAAUAAAAUACAUAUAUUUCUGUGAGAGCUAUAUUUUGAAAUAAGGAUUUUAACUUUGGUCUAGGAUUUAUAUAUAGACUUUCUACUUAUAGGUUACACAUUUUUGCUUUUGUAGCUUCCCAUACUUCCCUUCCUGUCUGUGUUCUCACAUUUCCUUUCUAAAUUAUAGUUAUGAGGGAACAACCAUUUUCCUUGAAAAGGGCUUUACUUUUGGGAUAAUAAAUGGCCAUUUUAAGAAAAGUCAGCAGUUCACAAGGGUGUUGCCGAACAUGUGAUUAUAUGAAAUGGGACUUUAGGAAAAACAAACCAAAAUCAACAACCCUUGGAACCCUGCAGUCUUGAGAUGGAUAGUAUUAGGAAAAAAUACCCAUCCAACUUGUUUUUCUAUGAGGGUUUUGUGCCAGAUUUUAGCUCUUGCCCUCCCUUUGUCAAAAUAAGUUUUGCAAUGCACAUUCACCUGCCAUGUGAAGGGUGUGGUGAGCAAAGGGGGAUGACUGAAGAAGGGCACAACAGUGAGAGAAUUUGUACUUUGGCUGUAUUUAGUACUGAUGCUACACUAAAUCACUGUAAAUACAGGUUACGAGUGUAGAUUAGGAUGUUAUAUCAAUAUUGGCAACUUUACUAGAAUCUGUUGCUCUAUUGAAUUGCUUAAUUGCUUUAAUGAGAGAAUACACAACUCUUUAGGAAGAAUUUGUGAAGGAGACAGUCAAGUCACCUCUUUUUUUGACCUGUAGCAAAAGAUAUCCUUCUAUUUGUUGGAGAUGAGAAUUUAGAGCUUCACUUUUGAAGGGACACAGGCAUAGACAAGUGAAAGCUUCAUUUCUAUGAGAAAUUGUACCGGGGUUUUUUGACUUGGAAAAAUGUGAAAUACUGAGACAUACUUUGCUUUCCAUUUCCCCCUCCUUUUGCUUGCAUCUAGAAUGUAGAGUUUAGGUGGUUCUUUGUGGAAUUUCUGUAAUUUUUGUCUGCAGAUUACUGUGUCUUCUAGUUCAGCAGUGCAUGGUAGAUACCGUUGCAGAGUAGAACUUUGGCUUCUCACGGGUUUUAGCGAGAAUGUGCAGCAUGGGUGAACAUGGUCCAGAGAUCCCAGUGGAAGCAGCUGGAAACUCCAGCCUCUAGACUAUGGUUUAGGAUGUUGGCAACUCUCUUGAUUUCUCUCAGUGGGAUUUCAGGCCCUGCAGAAAUGCAUUACCUGUCCCUACAUAGGCAGUGGGCUCAUAACAUAACAACAGCUCAGAAGUUUCUAUGAUGUUGUAAGUUUCAUUUAUGUGCAUGAAUAUCCUAGUUAUUUUUAAAAGAGAAGGCUUAGUAUUUUACUUUUGACAUAUUUCUAUUCCUCUAGAUGUUAUUUACAGGGUCAGUUUUGCUGUUAUUACUUCAUCUUUUGAGAAUGCUGGGUAAGGAUUACAUUUGAUGUAGCAAAUUCUUGCUGUUCUACAUAUUGUCCCAUUAAAUAUCCUUCACAGAACUGUAUGAUGGAGCUCAGUUUGUUUCACUGGAUAGUGAAAAUAAUAAAAUUCUAGUCUGAAAUAAUGAUACUGUGAUGUUGUUCCAUGCUUGAGAGAGAUUUGGUACCUGUAUUAAACCAAAGCUCUGCUUUGACAGUGGACAGGAAGACUGUUGUCUGAACUAAGAAGUCAAACUUGCCUGGGAGUAUCCUCUGGCACUUAGGGUAUGGACAGCCCAUGAUGAAAUCAUACAGCUCUUACCCUGCAAAAGAAGGUGACCACAUCCAAUCUUAUGGGAUUUAUCUCUGGGCUGUGUUAUUCCCUCGUGGUGCUGGGGAGUCUGCCAAAUUUGUGCCAAGAACUUGUCUAAGAACUGAACUGCAGAGAGAAUUAAAGUCUACUGUCUGGGUUUGCUUCUUGGUGCUGUUUAAUUUGCUGAUGAAGAAGAGGUCAAAGAAGAGCGUUUGACUACUUACCUCCAGUUGAGUUUUUUGAGGAUCACCACUCCAACUAAUGCAUCUCAUGUGUUUGGAAACUCAUUUUGUCUUAUCACUGCUGAAGACAGUUACAGUUUUGCAUUAAAAUUACAUGCAUGAUACUUCCCUCCUUUCUCUUGGAGGGAAAAGAACUAAAAUUUGAAAAAACAACCCUAUAUCACUGGCUGUUAUACAUGAGUCUUUGGGAUGAUAGAACUGAGAGAAUUUGCCUUUUCCAUGAGGUACUUUUUGCCCAUCCAGUAAGGUUUCAGAGGAUGAUAUGAUUUCUUUUCACCAUAAUAUAUAGUAAGCUUUUCUGUGUGCUCUGAGUUCAUGCCUGGUGUGUGUGUGUGUGUCUCUGCAUAUUCACACACAUACAGGCAUUGCCCAUGUGUAGAGGAGGUUUGCAGUAUCUAUGUAUGAUUUCCAGUGGUUAGCAUUAAGUGACAGUGACAGGUCACAUGAGCGCUGGGGCUCGGGCCCAGCAGGAGAUGGUGCAUGUGCACCUUCAGCAUUAACACAAUUGACAUCCGCUCAGGAGAGGGGUGGCUGGGCCUUUCCUUAGGAAACAUAUGCCAAAACUAUUAUCAGAGUCUACGUCAUGGCCUGCAGCAAACUGGACAGGAUGUUAAUGAGGAGGGAAUUGUGGAAGGAAUCUGAAUGCAUCCCAUAUUUUUAAACAGAAUGCUGAAUGAACAGAUUAUUUCCAUUAUGGUGCCCUGUCAGCAAUCUCAGUAUUUUGAUCUUUAUCAGGUUUAUGCUGAUAACAGUUUAUUUUUCAUUACUUAGUUGAUACACAUUUGGGGGUGUUUUAAAUGCAAUAAAUAAAUAAAUAAAUAAAUGCAAACAUCUGGGAAGCUAUAAAAGACUGUGGAGCCAGGACAGCUCAUUAUUUCUCCUUGACGAAGAAAUCUCUGGUGCAUCCUGUGAUGUCUGUGACAGUGUGUAAUGAGGCACUCCACUAUGUCAAACCCAGAGUCAUAAUUCUGUCUUAUCUGCUGUAAUAAUGAGACUUUUUGCACUACUGAACUCAGCAGAAGUUAUAGGUGAAAAGAAGGUGGCAUGUGUUUUGCAAGUAUUUACAACAGGUGGAGGCCAAGGAAUUAAAAUUGAUUGUUUUUUUCAUUCAGGGGCCUUGCUUCAGAGCCUAGCUUGGAAUUCAAGUUGUGUUGAUGAUUCAAACAAUGCCUGGCACUAAUUUAAUUUCAUAUUUGCAAUUUUCUGUAGUAGUCUUUGUUCAAUAUGUUAUUGCUUACUUUGCUUCUAUUUGUUCUUCCUUUAUCUUUUUCUUCCUGUCCCUCUCCCCCUCCCUGAAGGUUUGCCUGUGUAGCAAGAGUGAGAUAGCUAAAAUAAAUACCAUUGGUAAUAAUGGCUGUCCAUUUAAAGCAAAUUUUUAGAUGUGUUUUAGAAAGCAAAAUACCAAAGCAAUGUCAAAACACAUUUUUUUUUGUUUUUCAAGAUGCCAGCUGUUAGGCAUUUGCAUUCUUAUAGAUUGAGCAUAAGUUCAAUAUUACUAUUAGUUUGAUGUCCCUUGAAAUGUUAGGCUGUUUGUUAAUAAAAUAAAUUAAAUAUGGCCAAUGUCAUAGCAAGUCCAUUUUAUAAUUAAUUUUCAGCUGCCUUUCCUUUCCUGGACAAUGGAUAUAUUUUUUCCUACACCUUGGCUAACGUGCAGUAAUUAACAUGAGGUAAGCUGUAGUUGUAAUAUGAGUUAGGAGGGUGACGUGGCUCUUGGCCUCUUGGCAAAGUAUUCCCAUAUUCCCUUGUCUUUGUGACGGUUUUACCAAAUGUCAGCUCAUGUGUGCUAAGAAUAGGUCUUGCUGCUCUCUGCCUCAACAGAACUGACCUCAGCCCUGACCUGGAGCUUCCCUGCCUCGAAUAGAGAUUGUUCAUGUGCCAGAACCAUUCCAGCCACAGCUACUUAGCCCCCUGAGGUGGAAAUCUGUGCCCUGGUCUGCUAGAAAUUAGAGCUUUGGUGAUGCAAACCUAUCGAACAACCCUCGACUGGCAGUCACUGUCACUCAAUGUCAAGCUGAGCUUUUUUUGAGGAACCAACUACUGGUAAAGGGCUAUUGAAAAUAUUUUUUGUUUUUUGUUCUUAAAUUUUCCUUUGCAAGGAAGAUAACUGUUAAUAUCAGGUACUUAAGAAAGGGAGGAGUUGGAUCUGGUCUAUUUGUUUUUGCGUCAUGCCAUCAUUCCAGGUGACCUAGUUUAGGAUUGUGAUGAGAUCUGAAGACCAGAGUAUUGAAAAUGUUGUUUGUGAGAGCCUGUGUGCCAGAACAGUAUGGGGUAAAAUCAUCUUAAUGAGAUGCUAGGUCAUCUAUAGAAUGCAUCUCUCAGUAAAUACAGUGGAUUUAUUUUCCUAGAGGAACGCAAUGAACCUCUCACUGGAAUUUAUUUUUCUAAGGCUGGAAAAAAAUAAGUAGAUGCUUUAGUUCUUUCAAGGGUUAAGGAGAAGCAAUUUUCCGCAGUACACCACAGCUGCAGUUGUCAUUGCCAGCCUGCUCUAGAUUCACAUCUAAUGAUGGAACAUUGGACAAACUUCUGUGUAAAUUUCUCCAGAAAUAAAAUAACUUUUUAGUUUGUUUGAAAAAAAUAAUUAUGGAGAUACUGUUUUAUUAUUGUAAAUCAAGAUCCAGAACCUGAGAGUCCAAAAUACUAAUGUAGCUUCCAUCUGAAAAUUGAGGCCUGUCAGGUGGUAUCACAUCCACUCCCUUUCCAGCUUUAUUUGACCCAAGAGAAAAUUUGUUGAAAUGCUUGCUAACCUUUACUGACCAAGAGGAGUAACUUAAUAAACAUGAUUUUCCCCUGAGGAGUUUUACUGCCUGGCCUAGGUUUAGAUUUCCCUCUUGACAUUUUUCUACCCAUAUUCUGAUUCUUCCAAAGAAUGCAUAAAAGAGACUAGUUGCCUUGAAGUUCCCCUGGAAGAAAAACAAUAUUUGUUGAUCAGGGCCUUAGCCAAACAAUUACACUAUGCAUAAGCCAGUAAGAAGGGCAGACUUUUACUGUUCUUAAUUUACAAGGAGAAUGUCAUAAACCAUAUAAGUUUUUGUUAUCUGAUUCUUUAUAGGGAAAAGGUGAGGAAACAGAAUAUUUUUUGUUUUUCCUUAAUGCAUCCUGCUAGUAAAUUUGUACUCACUGCAGAUUGUGUUAUAAAAUGAAUGAAUAAAAAAUGAAUAAGGGUUAUUUACCAGGAA